rnacentral:rRNA from 1 species
GAGCGGCGAACGGGUGAGUAAUGCAUCGGAACAUGUCCAUUCGUGGGGGAUAGCCCGGCGAAAGCCGGAUUAAUACCGCAUACGCCUGAGGGGGAAAGCCGGGGACCGCAAGGCCUGGCGCGAAUGGGUUGGCCGAUGCCCGAUUAGCUAGUUGGUGAGGUAAAGGCUUACCAAGGCGAUGAUCGGUAGCUGGUCUGAGAGGAUGAUCAGCCACACUGGGACUGAGACACGGCCCAGACUCCUACGGGAGGCAGCAGUGGGGAAUUUUGGACAAUGGGGGCAACCCUGAUCCAGCCAUUCCGCGUGAGUGAAGAAGGCCUUCGGGUUGUAAAGCUCUUUUGUCCGGAGCGAAACGGGUGUGGUGAAUAUCCACAUCUACUGACGGUACCGGAAGAAUAAGCACCGGCUAACUACGUGCCAGCAGCCGCGGUAAUACGUAGGGUGCGAGCGUUAAUCGGAAUUACUGGGCGUAAAGCGUGCGCAGGCGGUUUUGUAAGCCAGAUGUGAAAUCCCCGGGCUUAACCUGGGAAUGGCAUUUGGGACUGCAAGGCUCGAGUGCGGCAGAGGAGACUGGAAUUCCUGGUGUAGCAGUGAAAUGCGUAGAUAUCAGGAGGAAUACCGAUGGCGAAGGCAGGUCUCUGGGCUGACAC